UACCAUGUUUUGGUGGGUGGCGCAGUAUUCUAGUCAAGACCACCAUCUUUGAAGGCGGGCCUAAAAAUCCGUCAAGGGCACACCGAUGAAGUUCCUGGUGCUGGCUGCCGACGCCCAGUCGGGGGUUGGUACUGGGAGUUAAGGAGGGGGGGCGAUCUACAAUGGCAUGUAGGCGUGGACCCUCCCUCCGUGGAGACCCAAGUUCGUGGGAAAGUUCCGCGGCAGGAGCAAAUACUAUGGCUUGGGGUGGAAACCUGCAGUUGGUACUGAGGGUGCUGGCUGCAGUGUAGCCUGCCUUGAGCGGCAGGGGUGGAUGCAGGCGAUAAGCCUAUCACGAUUUUCGCCGAAAAUCGUGGAGUAAGCGGAAACCCCUGUUGCAAAAGAGGCUAGAAGAUGGAUGGGAUUGCCGGGGAAAACCCCUAGACUGUUUACCACGUGUAAGGCUGGCCGGGGAUUAAAGUAUGUGCUAAGUGGUAAUCCAGUCCUGCUACCGGUGACGGCGCAGGGCAGCCUUUAAAGGGAAACCGCCAUGACGGCGACGCAUGGUAGGCUACCGGGAAAACCUACUGGACCUAAGCCAUAACAUUUAUCCGGCCAGUCGCCACCCACCCGUAAUUUUCA
rnacentral:ncRNA from 19 species